GUUUGAUACGCAGCAUUUCCAGUUUGUAAAUGAAAGUAAAAGUAUUUUAAUGCUGGACUCUCCAGUUUGUUAAGAAACGCGGAUAAGAUUCUGUAUUGCAAGAGGCCCCAGCCUCAGUCAUCUGGUCUAGAUCGGCACAAAAAUGGAGGGAGCUGCUUCUGAAAGGCCCCCCCUGUGGAGUGUAAAACAAAGAGAACUGAGAGUGUCCUGAUGGAGAGAGCAGGCUCACCUGUACCCAGCUGUGUUUCCAUGAAGAGUGACAUGUCAAUGGACCCACCAAUCUUAUUCAGAGAGGGACGUUUUCCUACAGAUCAAAGGGACCGAGUGAAUAGAUGUAAUUUACAUCCACAUAAAGGAGACUUAUCAUCCAUCUUCAAGUUACUGGAGAAAAAAGCUCAAACGUUUCUGAAGGAU